rnacentral:ncRNA from 1 species
GCUUGAUAAAGGCAAACUUAGCGAAAGCUAAGGACGCAAAGCCACGGGUCUUCUACUAAAAGUAAUGAUCGCCGGGCUACCAAG